AGUAAAGCUAGCCGUACCUAACAGCCGCACCUUAGCCGUACCUUAGCCGUACUUAAGAAAAUUCGUAAUUAGCAGCUCUGUGUGAAUAUCUAUGCCGAUAAAAAUGAUGAAAAAUGGAGCACUCCAUCGUCGAUCCCCAGUAACCCCCAGGGAAUCCUCAAUGAUGAAAUACCGAUAAUAAUAUAUCUUACAUGUAUUAUAAUUUUUAUAAAAUGAUUUUAAUACAAAUACAAAAGAGAUUUUUAAAUUUGAAUGUAUGAAAAACAUUAGUAAAGUAAGAUUGAACAUUAUUACGCUGCGGACAAUAUUAGAGCUAGCGCUAAAAGUGACUUCAGCUGGCUAAAUUUAAAUACGGUUGCCAAAAUAAGGUACGGCUAGAUAAUAUUAAGGUACGGCUGGGUCUUAUCAUAUAAGAAACAAUUUCAAAUGCUAAAAACGUUCAAUAAAAACGAAAUUAUGUUAGGUACGGCUAGCCAAAAUAAGGUACGGCUGGACAAUAUUAAGGUACGGCUGGGACCUAUCAUAUAAGAAACAACUUCAAAUGCUAAAAACGUUCAAUAAAAACGAUUUUGAAUUGUUUGGCAAUUGGGUUAAGAGUCACACUGACUGACUUUAAACAGAACUGGCCUGUAUCUAUCCCAGCUACCUCUAAAUCACUCUUUACGACCUUUGAUUUUAUCGACAUCUUUCUUUUACAGUUGUUAGCGUUUCGAUAUAUUGCAUCAAGAUCGGAUAGAUCUGUUACAGAUUUGGUUCUAGAAAUGGAAACGUUAGAGAAUGUAAGCAAUCAAUCUGACACUGAUAGUGAUAUUUAUUAAAAUAUAAUUAUAUAUUAUCGUGUUCGUAUUUUGUUUCUUAGGUAAUAUUUUUUAUAUUUUCAGCUAUACAAUUUAUUUUACUUUAAAUAGAUGUGCAGCCGUACUUUAAUUUUGAUCAAUGGUAGCCGUACCUAACCUAAUUUCGUUUUUAUGGAACAUUUGUAGCAUUUGAAGAUGUUUCUUAUACGAUAGGACCCAGCCGUACCUUAAUAUUUUUCAGCCGUACCUUAUUUUAGCUAGCCGUACCUAACCUAAUUUCGUUUUUAUGAAACAUUUGUAGCAUUUGAAGAUGUUUCUUAUACGAUAGGACCCAGCCGUACCUUAAUAUUUUUCAGCCGUACCUUAUUUUAGCUAGCCGUACCUAACCUAAUUUCGUUUUUAUGAAACAUUUGUAGCAUUUGAAGAUGUUUCUUAUACGAUAGGACCCAGCCGUACCUUAAUAUUUUCCAGCCGUACCUUAUUUUAGCUAGCCGUACCUAACUUAAUUUCGUUUUUAUUGUACAUUUGUAGCAUUUGAAGAUGUUUCUUAUACGAUAGGACCCAGCCGUACCUUAAUAUUUUCCAGCCGUACCUUAUUUUAGCUAGCCGUACCUAACCUAAUUUCGUUUUUAUGGAACAAUUUUAGCAUUUGAAGAUGUUUCUUAUACGAUAGGACCUAGCCGUACCUUAAUAUGGUCCAGCCGUACCUUAUUUUAGCUAGCCGUACUUAACUUAAUUUCGUUUUUAUUGUACAUAUUUUAGCCUUUAAAGUUGUUUCUUAUAUGAUAGGACCCAACCGUAAAAUAUAUGUUGUCUUAUAA